rnacentral:rRNA from 1 species
GGCGGGGAUGACGUCAAAUCAGCACGGCCCUUACGUCCAGGGCUACACACGUGCUACAAUGGCCGAUACAGAGGGCAGCUACCUGGUGACAGGAUGCAAAUCUACCAAAGUCGGUCUCAGUUCGGAUCGGAGUCUGCAACCCGACUCCGUGAAGUUGGAUUCGCUAGUAAUCGCGCAUCAGCCAUGGCGCGGUGAAUACGUUCCCGGGCCUU